GACCCUAUUCCUCCACUCGAACCCACCGCUGUCGUGAACACCGAGCGAAGAACCGAAAGAAAGUCACCGCCGCCGCUGCGAGGAUUGAGAUUAGGGGCGACUCUACCCCUGAACCCUGUCUCGGGGGCCUCGUCGGAGGUUGGCGAAGCUCGGGAUGGAAGCAAUCACGCUAAGGAUAACCGCGGUACUGAGAAUUCCUCACCGGAGCGGGCGAGCGCCCGUAAUCCGCGCCGCGUCGUGGAUCUCCGUAGCUGCAUCUCCACCCCUGCAGUGAGGUCACAAGGAUCUGAAGAAUCACCCUGGAGAAGAACAUGUGGUUCAAGUGGAGCCACACAACGAGGAGUUUGAUUCGAUCUAGGUGGCAUCUCCCAGUUGACUUUGUGGCGCCAAGGAUGGACUUUAGUUCGAUUCAUAUUUAUAAUUUAUUUUGCAAGACUUCCGCUAUGUAAUAAGUACUCUGAUGUUAUUAUGACAUUUAUCUCUAUACACUAUGUUAUUAUAUAUGUUGUCUUCUUUGGCGCAUGUAUGAGAUGCACCUGGCUUUGUCCCUUAAAUCCGGGUGUGACAAUUUAUUAGUAGAAUUGUUUGAUGUAUCAUAGAAAAACUUGAGCGAU
rnacentral:lncRNA from 7 species